rnacentral:rRNA from 1 species
UACGUAGGGUGCAAGCGUUGUCCGGAAUUAUUGGGCGUAAAGAGCUCGUAGGCGGUCUGUCGCGUCGGCUGUGAAAACUCGGGGCUCAACCCCGAGCCUGCAGUCGAUACGGGCAGACUAGAGUGCGGUAGGGGAGACUGGAAUUCCUGGUGUAGCGGUGAAAUGCGCAGAUAUCAGGAGGAACACCGGUGGCGAAGGCGGGUCUCUGGAACGCAACUGACGCUGAGACGCGAAAGCGUGGGGAGCAAACAGG